GUGGGAAAGAAGAGGGAGCGCCUGACAGAAGUCCUGGCUUUACAUCUCGGGUUGGUCACUAAGCAGCAGUGUUGCCUGAAACACAUAAUUAUUCCAGAGUUGUCCCCCCGAAAAGUAUUUCCAGCCAAAAUACUACUGUUUUGAAGAACCUUUGCUUCUACAAUGAAAAGAAUUUUGGAGAAUUAGUUUAAGUAUCUUCAAAAUCAACAUUUUGGACUGGUCAGACACUAUGAACAUCGUCAUCUUUUCAAAUGCAUCUUUAACUGCCAAGUGAAAGGACAUUGUGAUCUGAAUAUUGUUUUCAAAGACAGUUCUGCACCUAUCAAAGCCAUCCAAAGGAAAACAAAACAAAACAAAAAAGCACAUCACAACUUGGAGAAUGGAAAAGCAAAGAACUCAGGCGAAGAAUCUAUUUCCCUGAAACUACAAUGCUCUGAAGUCGGAACUUCAGCUUCACUCUUGGCUAACAAAUGCUCCCUCUACAUCCAAACUAGCACUGCCAAAUCAUUAAUUGUAAAAUGUUAAGCAAACCUUCAGCCAUAAAAGGAGGCUCUAAGGAAUAGUUUUGAAGAGAAAGUAAAGGAAAGGUUUUGCUUUACUCUUGCCAGAAUAUUCAACCCUUGCAUUUUCCUUACCUCAAAAGCCAAACCUGCAAGCUGACUCUGAUGCACCAACAUUUGAUACUGUGUGAAAGGACACUUAUGUAUGAAA